rnacentral:rRNA from 1 species
AAGUUUCCAAGGGCGCAUGGUGGAUGCCUUGGCAACAGGAGCCGAAGAAGGACGUGGGAAUCUGCGAUAAGCCUGGUGGAGUCGAUAACCGGACGUUGAGACCAGGAUUUCCGAAUGGGGAAACCCCGCACGACGUGUCGUGUGACCCCCGGUUGAACACAUAGACCGGGUGGAGGGAACGUGGGGAAGUGAAACAUCUCAGUACCCACAGGAAGAGAAAACAAAAGUGAUUCCGUUAGUAGUGGCGAGCGAACGCGGAUGGGGCUAAACCGUAUGUGUGUGAUACCCGGCAGGGGUUGCAUGUGCGGUGUUGUGGGCCCCUCCUUGUCAUGUCUGCCGGCAUGGCGCAGUGAGGUGCGGGCAUAUAGACGAACCAGUGUGGAUGCUGGACCGUAGAGGGUGAGAGUCCCGUAGUCGAAAUGUGUUCCGCCGCUGUUGGAGGGUUGCCCGAGUAGCACGGGGCCCGAGGAAUCCCGUGUGAAUCUGCCAGGACCACCUGGUAAGCCUGAAUACUACCUGUUGACCGAUAGCGGAUCAGUACCGUGAGGGAAUGGUGAAAAGUACCCCGGGAGGGGAGUGAAAUAGUACCUGAAACCAUGUGCCUACAAACCGUUGGAGCCUCCUUGUGGGGUGACAGCGUGCCUUUUGAAGAAUGAGCCUGCGAGUUAGUGAUACGUGGCGAGGUUAACCCGUGUGGGGAAGCCGUAGCGAAAGCGAGUCUGAAUAGGGCGAUUGAGUCGCGUGUCCUAGACCCGAAGCGGAGUGAUCUACCCAUGGCCAGGUUGAAGCGCGUGUAAGAGCGCGUGGAGGACCGAACCCACUUCAGUUGAAAAUGGAGGGGAUGAGCUGUGGGUAGGGGUGAAAGGCCAAUCAAACUCCGUGAUAGCUGGUUCUCCCCGAAAUGCAUUUAGGUGCAGCGUUGCGUGUUUCUUGCCGGAGGUAGAGCUACUGGAUGGCCGAUGGGCCCUACAAGGUUACUGACGUCAGCCAAACUCCGAAUGCCGGUAAGUGAGAGCGCAGCAGUGAGACUGUGGGGGAUAAGCUUCAUAGUCGAGAGGGAAACAACCCAGACCACCAACUAAGGUCCCAAAGCGCGUGCUAAGUGGGAAAGGAUGUGGAGUUGCUGAGACAACCAGGAGGUUGGCUUAGAAGCAGCCACCCUUGAAAGAGUGCGUAAUAGCUCACUGGUCAAGUGAUUCCGCGCCGACAAUGUAACGGGGCUCAAGCACGCCACCGAAGUUGUGGCAUUGACAUUAUUGGUAGGCCUUCGUGGUCCAGCCGUGUUGAUGGGUAGGAGAGCGUCGUGUGGCCAGCGAAGCGGCGGUGUGAACCAGCCGUGGAGGCUACACGAGUGAGAAUGCAGGCAUGAGUAGCGAAAGACAUGUGAGAAACAUGUCCUCCGAAAGACCAAGGGUUCCAGGGUCAAGCUAAUCUUCCCUGGGUAAGUCGGGACCUAAGGCGAGGCCGACAGGCGUAGUCGAUGGACAACGGGUUGAUAUUCCCGUACCAGUGAAGAACCGUCCAUGUUGAGCCGGUGAUACUAACCGCCCGAACCAUCCCGAACCCCGUCUUUGACGGGGUCGGUGAUGGGGAGCGCGGGACCUGAACCGGGGAGGCAAGCGCAUUAACAGGUGUGACGCAGGAAGGUAGCCGGGCCGGGCAAUGGAAAUGACCUGGUCUAAGGGUGUAGGGCUGCCGGUAGGUAAAUCCGCCGGCUGUAUGCCUGAGACCUGAUGGGCGCCCACAUGGUGGGUGAUCCGGUGAUCCUAUGCUGCCUAGAAAAGCAUCGGCGCGAGGUUCAAACUGCCCGUACCCUAAACCGACACAGGUGGUCAGGUAGAGAAUACUAAGGCGAUCGAGAGAAUCAUGGUUAAGGAACUCGGCAAAAUGCCCCCGUAACUUCGGGAGAAGGGGGGCCCCAACCUUGAGCACCACGUGCUGGUGUGAGGGGAUCGGGGCCGCAGAGACCAGGGGGAAGCGACUGUUUAUCAAAAACACAGGUCCAUGCGAAGUCGUAAGACGAUGUAUAUGGACUGACUCCUGCCCGGUGCUGGAAGGUUAAGGGGACCCGUUAGCUUCGGCGAAGCGGAGAACUUAAGCCCCAGUAAACGGCGGUGGUAACAAUAACCAUCCUAAGGUAGCGAAAUUCCUUGUCGGGUAAGUUCCGACCUGCACGAAUGGAGUAACGACUUCCCCGCUGUCUCAACCAUGAACUCGGCGAAAUUGCAUUACGAGUAAAGAUGCUCGUUACGCGCAGAAGGACGG